UUGCCCGAUGAUUAUAAAAAGAUGCGUUAAAAGGACUUAUGCUGGAUUCUUUUUUUUUCCCUUUUUUGUUUUUACUCUUUCUCUUACUUUUCUAUACUUUUUCUUUCUUUGAAUGUCCAGCGUCCUGUGAACGAAGAUUAUGAGAUAUGAGGGCAA
rnacentral:snoRNA from 13 species